AACCACCAACUCCCUCAUUCUCUUCAAACUAAUCUGGUAAUCCAUCUUAAUCUUCUCAGGUUUAUGAGAAAUGAGAUCUUGCCACCCAAAUUACUGAGGACUACAGAAAUCACUAAUGAAGGAGAAGGACUUGAGUCUAGAAAUUUCUUAGUCCAAAGCCUAUUGUGGGCAACAAGGAAAAAACUUAUUUAAGAAAGGAGAAUGAGUUUGUUCCUAAGGUAAGAAAACCAAUACGCCCAGUUAUUGAGAGCCAAGAAAGGCAGAGAUGGAGGAAAUUAGAUAAUGAGCUAAUAUUCAUCCCUAAUUUACAUUUGCUUUCAUGCAUAGAUUUGUCUGUCUUUCCAUUCUGUCCUAUGGGACUCCAUUCUACUAAGUGCAGACUUUAUACUUUCUCAAAACAUUUUCUCAGCUCUAGUUUUAUUAAAAAUCUGCUUAUAAGGGUGCCUAGGUGGUGCAGAGGUUAAGUGUCCAACUCUUGGUGUCAGCUCAGGUCGUGAUCUCAGGGUCAUUAGAUAGAGCCCCACAUUGGCCUCCACAUUCAGUGCAGAGUCUGCUUAAGACUCUUUCUCCUUUUCCCUCUGCCUCUCCCCACCCUAUGCUCGCACACACACUCUCUCUCUCAAAUAAAUAAAUACAUAUAUUUUUUUAAAAUGUGCUUAUUUAAUGAUAACACAGUGCUAUCCUGUACCAUUUUCUAUGUAAUGUUCACUUCACUGACACACUUAGACAUUAGCAAAGGAGCCCCAACUUACGCACUAAAUAUUAGAGGAACCCAUUGAACUUUCUUUCAUCUGUCCUUUCAGUGGGUUGAGAUAUCUCUGGGGCCAAGUGAUAUACUUGUGCCUUCCCUCUCAGAGCACACUCAGGUCCCAAGGAAAACAGAACUUCAUGUUCCCUGCAGAGACCACUUCCUCUGGCCAUACUCCAAAAGUGCCUACCAUACUGCUAGUGUGUACAACUCUAGGCCCAAGGGGAUGGCCAGGAAGUGGUUGUAUGUGGAGAGUGAGGGCAAAGACUACAAAAGUGGGCUAAGAAUAGGAAGAGAAAAAGAGGUGUACACCAGAAGCCAGCAUGAAACUCCAAGGAAUUCCAGAAUUAUAAUUGCAACUGGGACAAAAGGUUGAAGACAAAGAAGCCUGAAGGACAGCAAUAGCAGUGGGGAUAUAAAGGAAGGACAGAUCUAAGAGAUAGAAGAUAAAACCAGG
rnacentral:lncRNA from 12 species